rnacentral:lncRNA from 1 species
AGAAUAUGGCUGUAACAUAACAAAAUGUGGAAAAAGUCAAGGGGUCUGAAUACUUUGGAUGCACCGUACAAGUUUUGCUCAAAGCAGCCAACUAAAGUAAUGUAGCUAACGUAAGUUCAAUCACAAAGGCUGGUCUGAGUGCAUUUCCUGUUUCAUUCAGUAGUACAGCACAAUUCACAGUUGCAUUUCAUCAUGGGCACAGUGGGAAUUUAUAUCUGUGAUGUUUAAAUUAUGUCUUACCCCCAGAGCGAGAAAGUACAUCACUUCCAGCAGAUCUCCAUGCUGAGGGCGGCGUUGACCAUGCACUGCUUCUCGUGGGGCUUGUCCUGCUGUAGUCUCCACAACCGGAUCACACUGGCACGGGAUGUCCAUGCACUGGAUGGACUGAGGGAUGCACUCCUGUUGGACUGGAAAACAAAGAGACAUGGUCAGUGGUGGGUAUUUUUCAAUGCUGUAUCACCAUAUUUAUCUGGACAGAAAACAAAUUGUUUCUCAUACUCAACACCCAACACUCAAUCCUCAUGCCUUAUUGUUUGUUCUUGUUUCCCAAUCAACAGUCUGGAUCUUCAUCUUCUGCCAUGGUGGAUGAGCUACCUUUUCUGGUAAAUACAGGGGCUUUUCUCAUUCCCACCGGAAAAGGGCAGCUACAAACCCAAGUGUUGUCACUGGGUUUCCAGUCCAUCCCACCUGAAAGACAACAAAAGUUACUUUUACUAGCUAGCUAAAUUGAUUACUGAAAUGAUAUCUACAUUAAAAUACCAUAACCCACAGACUUGACUAUAGUAACAGUAAAAUAGACUGGGCUUUGGUCUAUCUGCACAUCUAAAAUCAUACUAUGUGGAUGGGUUAUUUCUGCUGAGAUGAAGGAAUUAUCUGGAAUGAUCAACUAGAUGAUCAGGACAGUCUAGGUUACUAUUUGCCAGAAGAGGUGAAGUAUUGCAAUGAGCUAUACAACUACUUCUGAUUCUAAUUCUCAAGAGGAAAGUUAAAACCAUCAGCCAUAAGGUCACUGAAGAGGACCAACAGUGAUAGGGGGAUUGUCUGAAAGGUACUGACAUGCAGGGAUAAUAACAUAAGGAUUUUGGGCACUGGCCAGCAGACCAAGAUUUCUACAUUCAGGUCCUACAUCUGUGGCAUGCAAUGUUUAUAAAGAAACAUUUUCAAUAAAGAGGUCACAACAUUCAUUAUGCUAUUAUAUGCUAGUUUUUUAAAAGUUUUUUUUAUACUUGUAAGGAGGGUAAUGUGCAUUGUACAUGUAACUACAGUCGGUGGUUAUCUAUACUGAAAAAAAAUCUAAACGCAACAUGUAAAGUGUUGGUCCCAUGUUUCAUGAGCUGAAAUUAAAGAUCCUUGAAAAGGUUAUUUCCCUCAAAUGUUGUGCACAAAUUUGUUUACACCUUGUGUUGGAGAAAAUAAAAGGCCACUAAAAUGUGCAGUUUGUCACACAACGCCACAGAUGUCUCAAGUUGAGAGAGCCUGCAAUUGGCAUGUUGAAUACAGGAAUGU